rnacentral:rRNA from 1 species
UACGUAGGGGGCAAGCGUUGUCCGGAAUCAUUGGGCGUAAAGCGCGUGUAGGCGGCUCGGUAAGUCUGCUGUGAAAGUCCAGGGCUCAACCCUGGGAUGCCGGUGGAUACUGUCGAGCUCGAGUCCGGAAGAGGCGAGUGGAAUUCCUGGUGUAGCGGUGAAAUGCGCAGAUAUCAGGAGGAACACCAAUGGCGAAGGCAGCUCGCUGGGACGUGACUGACGCUGAGACGCGAAGCGUGGGGAGCGAACGGAUAGAA